rnacentral:rRNA from 1 species
AACGAACGCUGGCGGCAUGCCUAACACAUGCAAGUCGAACGACACCUUCGGUCUUAGUGGCGCACGGCUACGUACGGCCUGGGAAUCAGCCCCUUGCUUCGGAUUCACAGUUAGAGAUUACUGCUACUAACGCCUGAAGUCUUCGGACCAAAGAUUUCUCGACAAGGGGUGUGCCCGCGUAGGCUUAGGUGGUUGGGCUGGUCAAGGCCUACCAAGCCGACGAUCCUUAGCUGGUCUGUGAGAAUGAUCAGCCACACUUGGACUGAGACACGGUCCAGACUCUUACGCGAGGCAGCAGUGGGGAAUACUGGAAAGUGGAGUGAAGUCUGAACCAGCUAGGGCGGUUGAGUGCUUAAGGCCGUAGGGAUGUAAAGCGCUCUUACCAGGGAGGAGAAUGACAGUACCUGGAGAAUAAGCACCGGCUAACUCCGUG